UUAUUAUUGGAGCAUCCCCAUGUCAGUCUUGUGGCCACCCCCCUGUCCGUUCCUGAGAGUUCUGUGUCUGUUACCCCAUCCCUGCAUUCCCAUUUGUCACAGAACCCUGUACACACCCCUAUCGUGUUCCCUUUGGUUGCCGUGGGCCGCGUCAUCCUCCCAUUGCCUGUCCCCAUUGGGCGAGGGGGCUUCCGCCCCUGUCUCCCCGCCCCCUAUAAAACUCCAUGCACCCCUUUGUUCUGCCGCCAUCUUGUCCACGCAGGCACCGGCAACGGACGCUGCUCUCCACUGCAGCCACCACGCAGCAAUAAAAGUUCUCCAGCCAACCGCAGGGCAGGGUGUGCCUUCCUUCGCCUCUUUACCUCCUCCCAGUGUUGGUUGCAUAGCACGGCAGCCCACGCGGAGGCUCAGCGCUAGAGCCUCCAAACCAGCGGCAGCCCCGGACUCCCGUGUGAUACGCUGAGCCUAGCCGGGCUCCCUGAGCCACUCGGGACCGGGAAAAAAGAAUGCAAUGACGCACUUAAUAAUGGACUGAGGUUCAAUGUGGUUUUAAAGUGCUGAGAGUGCACAAGAGGCUGGAAGGCAAUACUGCUGACCCCAAGUGACCCAAGAGAUAUUCCUGACCAAAUGGUGUCAUGCUGGUAUCAUGUAUAUAAAGCUGAAGGGAAGAGGGAGAAA